rnacentral:rRNA from 1 species
UGGGGAAUAUUGCACAAUGGGCGAAAGCCUGAUGCAGCAACGCCGCGUGAGUGAUGAAGGUCUUCGGAUUGUAAAGCUCUGUCUUUUGGGACGAUAAUGACGGUACCAAAGGAGGAAGCCACGGCUAACUACGUGCCAGCAGCCGCGGUAAUACGUAGGUGGCGAGCGUUGUCCGGAUUUACUGGGCGUAAAGGGUGCGUAGGCGGAUGUUUAAGUGAGAUGUGAAAUACCCGGGCUUAACUUGGGUGCUGCAUUUCAAACUGGAUAUCUAGAGUGCAGGAGAGGAGAAUGGAAUUCCUAGUGUAGCGGUGAAAUGCGUAGAGAUUAGGAAGAACACCAGUGGCGAAGGCGAUUCUCUGGACUGUAACUGACGCUGAGGCACGAAAGCGUGGGUAGCAAACAGGAUUAGAUACCCUGGUAGUCCACGCCGUAAACGAUGAGUACUAGGGUGUAGGAGGUAUCGACCCCUUCUGUGCCGCAGUAAACA